CGUCGCCGCUGCCGCUGCUGGAUGACAGGAACGGCGGAACCGGGAACGGUGGAGUCGUGAGAGUGUUGUCGGACGUAGUGCCUGUGUGCCUCGAAGUGAUAAAUUGAUUUCGUGCGACGAGAGACGGCACCGGCGCGCAUCUAUGGAUAUUCCUCGCGAUACGUGUGACUGACAAGUAACGAGAACGAACGCAAAUUUUCGGAUUGCGCGCACACGAGCUGGGGAGUGGAAGAACAACAACAACGUGAGGAGCAACGACGAGGCACCAUCUCUCUCUCUCUCUCUCUCUCUCUCUCUCUC